UUAGGGAUAACAGCGUAAUUUUUUUUUAGAGUUCAUAUCGACAAAAAAGAUUGCGACCUCGAUGUUGGAUUAAGAGUUAUUUUUAGGUGUAGAAGUUUAAAGUUUAGAUCUGUUCGACCUUUGAAUUCUUACAUGAUCUGAGUUCAAACCGGCGUGAGCCAGGUUGGUUUCUAUCCUUAAUAAAAUUAUUAUAUUAUAGUACGAAAGGACCUAGUAUAAAAAAUAUAGAUUUUAAAGUUAUGAAUAAUAUUAAUAUUUAAUAA
rnacentral:rRNA from 1 species